rnacentral:lncRNA from 1 species
UCUUCUGUCUCCUACCUGUACGGAAAAGACAACCUGAGUCUGCGUGCCAUUCCAGAAUGCCUCCCAGCUGGUGGGAGUUCGUUUUCAGCACCACAGGUCGGUAUGUGGAAUGCACCCUUUGCAAGGCAUAAAAACAGGUCAGAUCUAUUGGAAGGGAUGUAAGUUCGUGUUGGCGUGAUGGAAACCUUACAGAAGAUGGCUCAACUGCCUCCUCAGCUGAUGACCGGCCCAAAUAUCUGGGCCAAUGAGGCAUAUGGUGUUGCUGGGGGUCAAGGAUCUCCUACCCCAGGGGAACCAGCCAGCCCCCAAAGCUAUUUUCAGCACAGCCCGUCUUUGCCUGCUUCAGGAUUGACCGAAUUCAGCAAUGGGGGUGCUGUGAACUUCAAUUCAUCUUCAGAGAAGACUCCAGAGUACACGGCCAUGAAAGAUCCGGCGCUGACCCACAGCACCUCUCAGAAGAAGUAUCUGGGCGUGCGGGUGAAAAUGCCAGUGCGAGAACUGCUGAGGAAAAUACGUCUCUCCAAAGGGAUCAGUUUGAGCGAUACCAAGGAAAUACCUGUGCACGUGAAUAUGGACAAGGCAUCAGGAAAAACAGGUGAAUAAGGUGCGCUUUGGAGCACAAGGAACUUGGGAGCAAUGUCUGGUCUGGGACAUGUGCCAUCGUACCAGCUGUGGAGCGGUUGCUGGCGAUCCUGUACAGGGUCAGGAUUAGGGCGAAGGCUGGCUUUAG